UACGUAGGGGGCUAGCGUUGUCCGGAAUCAUUGGGCGUAAAGAGCGUGUAGGCGGUCCGGUAAGUCCGCUGUGAAAGUCGGGGGCUCAACCCUCGAAUGCCGGUGGAUACUGUCGGGCUAGAGUGCGGAAGAGGCGAGUGGAAUUCCUGGUGUAGCGGUGAAAUGCGCAGAUAUCAGGAGGAACACCUAUUGCGAAGGCAGCUCGCUGGGACGUAACCGACGCUGAGACGCGAAAGCGUGGGGAGCAAACAGG
rnacentral:rRNA from 1 species